rnacentral:sRNA from 1 species
GAUGGAGAAGAGCAGCCCGGGCCGGUCAGAGCACACGCCUGUGAAGCAGAAGCGCAGCUUCCAGUAGAAGAGGUGCUCCCAGAUGAAGAUGCCCGUAAGCCACAGUGUCUCCAGCUCCUCCAUCUCACCUGCACAGAACACAGCAGCCACAGGCAGUGAGGACCCAAGCGCAGGCCUUGGUGUAGACCCUUCUGAGGUGGGAACAGGGCAAGUGAGAUAUCUCAGUCCCUGAGAGUGCUGGCUGCCAAGCCCGUCGACCCAAGUUUGAUCCCUGGGAGCCACACGGUGGAAAGAGAGGACAGAACCCUGCAAGUUGUCAUCUAACGUCCAUGUAUGUGUAUUGACUUCACUUGUGCACAUAAAGAGUUAAAUAUUAAAGAUAAAAACUUCCUCUAUUGUUGCUUUAAAUAUUGGCUCCCCAUCUUACCUUUUUAAAAAAAAUAUUCCUCUCUAAGUCUUCCAAACCUUGGCAACUAUUGGUCUGUGGGGUUUUCCUUCCCACAGUGCCACAUAGUUAGAAAUAUGUGGUGUGUGGCCUUUUCAGGCUGGCUUCUUUCACUGGAUAAUGUGCACGUGCAUGUCCCUUCUGGAUCCAGAGCUCAUUUCUUUGCAUUACUGGGUUCCACGAUCUAGAUAUGCUUUGUAUAUCUGCUUAUCUAUUGCUGUUGAGGUUGGCUGUUCCCAAAUUUUAACCAUUACAAAUAAAGCCACUGCAAACCUUGAUUACUGGAGAUCUUGGGUUGGAGAUUUUUGACUCCUUUGGUUAAAAUAUCUAGAGGCAUUUUUCUGAGUUCUCUGGAUUACGUGGAUAAAAAUAAAAGUUGAGCUUUUUAGAAAACUGCCAAGCUAUCUUCCAAAUCGACAGCACUGUUUCAGAUUCUACCUCCCCACAGUAGCUGACUAGGGUGCCAAUGUUUGUGCAAGAUGUUUACUCUUUUCCUAGGCUGACGAUGCUACCUGGUCACUGUGAUUAGCAAUUCCCUAAUGACCCAUAAUAAUUCAUUUUGUCCUAAAAAUUUUAGCACAGUGUGUUCUCAGUCUAACCUUUAGAUUACUGACUUUAUUUUCAUGUUUGUUUAUCUCUGUGGGUUGGAGUUGACUGAUCCCCAUGAAGAUCCAUUCCCUAGUUCAUUUGCUCUUUAGUUGGUAAUAUUUCAUUUCAUGCUCUCAUCCUAAUCUAUUUAUCUUACAUGAGACAGUUAUUUCUCUCCUCGCUUCACCCGGGACUUUCAUCAGGAUUUUCAUACCUCUUCUACUUUGGUGAUUUCAAAUCUAUAGUCAAGGGGAUAAUUCUGUUUGUUUCUUGUUGUUUUGAGACAGGGUUUCUCUCUGUAGCCCUGACUGUCCUGGAACUUACUCUGUAGACCACACUGGCCUUGAACUGAGAUCUGCCUGUCUCUGCUUCCUGAAUGCUGGGAUUGAAGGGGUGUGGCACCACUGAAGAGAGCCAUUCCUCUGUUUGCUCUAUGUUCUUACUCAUGGUAAUUGAUUUCCUGUGAUGGCUGGAAUCUUUUAAUUUACUUAGUGUUUGGUGGUUUUAUACAUGGAUACAAUGUACUUAGAGCAUAUCUUCCUCUGUUUACCCCCUUCAGCUCUUCCUGAGUGUGCCCUACAAUCUCCUCCAAGACUCAUAUUUUUUUUUAUUUUGUAAUAACCCACUGGGUCCCAUAACUGCUGCUGCUUUGUUUGCAGGUAUAAGAUAUCACUGACUGAAGCAUGCUGGCAACCUACCAUGGCAACCACACUGCUGAAGAAAACAGACUUUUCCUUCCCCAUUGGCCAAAAGCUACCAGUGGCAACUUAGCUAGGAGCAGUCAGUCUCAGGAGGAGUUCAGGCAUUGCUGCUGGAAGUAUGACUGGUUGUAUACAGACAGAAACCUCGCAGAACCAGCACAGGAUGACCAUCGGACCAUCAACAUCACUCAUUUGAGAAUUCCAAAGUGCACAAGUGAAUGCUUCACUGGAAAAUGUAUAGGACUAGUCAAGGCAGAAAUGCUGCAAAGAUUCAUUAGCAACAACAUUGAAAAGCACACAGGGGAAAUUUUGUUCAAUAUACUACAUACCAGUGAAAAGCCAAAGAGUUAUCUGUGUUGUAAAAGGCACAAAGGAGGAGUGGGAGCAGGGCUGAGGGGUGCUUACACAUCAUCUAGCAUCAUAUUUGUAUGUGAAAUUACAAAGAUGAGCAAAAAUAAGAAAGUCAAAUUGAAAAACCUUAUGAACAUUAUUUGAUCCUCCCGUUCAUUUGAAGGCCAAAAAUAGGCAAACCUCACCCACAAUUGUGGAGGGAAGUGUGGUUAUUUUGAGGGGAAUGCGGGCCCCUAAGGAAGCUUUCUGGGUCAUGAACUGCAUCUUAAAAGGGAGGCAGUUGCACAACUGUACAAAAAUUAAUGAGGCUUUGGGACUUGUGCUAUAUAAUGACUGCACAGCAUAUUUCUCAACUGACUGAAAGGAAGGUGGCUAAGUGUCACAGCCAAGGCACAAGGUAGCCUUACAUUUGGGGAGUUAAGAGGAGACAGUAAAGGAAGUAUAAGAAAACAGACGUUCUAAGAGAGAACAAAACCUUCUUUCUUAAUAUACGAUAUCUUUACAAAGAGAGAGAAAAAUCCUUAAAGAGUAAAGGAGGAGCAUACUGUUAUAUUAAAGUCAAUAUUAUUAGAAUUACCUUUUAAAAACACAUAUAACUUUUAUCACUUAAACCAGAGGUCAGAAAUCUUUUGUCUGAAAGUAGCCAACUAGUAAAUGCAGCUUUCUGUUGAUAUGGUCUGUGCUGUUGAAAUUCCAUGCUGUCCUGGUGUCAAUGAGUUCUAGGUGAUGUGCAUGGCUGGGUGGCCAUCAGUGGGUAUUGACCUAGAGAGUACAGUCUAUUGGACAUUGAUUCAACAAAACAGACCAAUAAUUGGUCAUGCAGAGAAUAAGUGGAUAUGGAUUGCUCAUCCAUAAAUGGAACAUUUAUUUCACACACACACACACACACACACACACACACACACACACACACACGGGGGGGGAUGGGGCGUGUAGAAAGGGUGUAAGAACCAGAGGUUGGGGAAGAUCACUGCAAAAGAAUGUCUUCUGAAUGCAACAGAUCUGUGGUAUUCAUGUACCCAUAACAGUCAUGGAUGCUGGGACAAGACCUGCACAAGAUCAAGCUGGUCAUUAUUCCAACAUAGACAGGAAAGGGACCCACAAUGCCCCAUACCUUGCAAAGGAGUCAGUAGCAGCUGAUAGCCGAUGGGGGAGGGGAGUCAGUUUUAUUCAACAGAGUGGCCUACAGUAGUAGGUUGCCUAUGCUCUAGUGGAUGGCAUUUUAUACCCAUGUGUCAGGGUAGCAAUGAUUAAAUCAGUACAUAAUAAACAGGGAAAGAAGAGAGAAGAGGAGGAGGAAGAGGAGGAGGAGGAAAAACAGUAAGAGGAGGACGAAAAAGCAUUAAAAUGAGUGGGAGAUGUGGGAGGGUGUCUGGGAGUUGGAGUAUAGAGUAGGGGUCUGUGAAUAUGAUCUAACAGUGUAUUCAUAUACAAAAUGAUCAAAGAAAGAAUAAAAACUGAAUAAUUUUCAAACCCUUAUACAGGUGGAUGGGAAUAAAUUGCAGGGUGAGAAGAUGUUAAACACAUCAACUAAGCUUAGUGGAUACUCACUUGUUUGCCAAGAUAUCCUUAUGAAUUGUAUCAUUGAAUUUGGUGACAUUGGUGUCAUUACAACCCAUAGCUUAAAGAAGAGAAUAGUAGCCACUAGGGAAGCUUCCAAGAUUAUGGGUUAAUAAAUACCAGUUCUCAUAUUUGAUCCCAGUGUCUGUGAUCCUUCCUAUUUCCCCAUGGGCAACAUGAUUUUUUUCUAUUAAUCACUUUUUGCGUGAAAUAUUGCAACCAAAAAUUUAAUGGAUAGUAAAAUUUAAUUUUUUGUUAACUUUUGUAUAUUAAAAAUAGCCAGGUAUUGUACACAUGCCUUUAAUCUUAGAACUUGGGAGGCAGAGGCAGGCAAAGUUUUGUAAGUUUCAGGCCAGCCUUGUCUACAUAACUAGUGAUUUUGUGGUCAUCUAGAGUACAGACUAAAAUCUUGCCUCAAAAACUUUACUUAUAAAAAGGUAAAUGGUAAAAUAAGCAGCUGAUUCAAAUAUAUAACUUUUACUAUUUUCCAAUGGAAUCCAAAGUCAGGAAAUCCAGAGUCCGCAUGUAAAAAUGGUACAUUGAGGCACUGUCCAUUAUCUCAUGCAUGAGAAUGAACCUUUGGGAUAGUAAUAGCCCAUUAUAUAUCUGUGGCCAAUAAUCCUGCUGGUUCAACAUUUAAGAAUUCAUUGCAAAUGCGUUUUUAAAAAAAUUGCAGGGGUUGGGGAUUUAGCCCUGGGUUUGGUCCCCAGUUCCGAAAAAAAGAAUAAAAAAAAAUUGCAUAAAAUUUUUCUCAAUUAUCACCAUAUAAAUAAUACAUCAAAAUAUCAAACAUCAGACAAAUGUGGGAGUGGGAAAAGGGGGCUCAUCUGGGGUAGUAGGGCACAGGGCUAUGGAAGAAAAAAAUGGAAAAACAGAGGACUUUAACUAGGGAGAGGAGAGAUUAAAAAACACUAAGGAUGUUUGAAAAAGCCACCGAGAACAUUAUAUUUACUUAAAUACAUGCUAUAUAUGUACAUUUAGUUUAAAUG